CUUCCUGAUGAGACCUACAUUUUACUAUUUUCUGGUACCUCUUAUGUUAGAAUUUCUUCGGAUUUUCAAUGAAUGUAACGGACUUCUGAUC
rnacentral:snoRNA from 1 species